rnacentral:rRNA from 1 species
GACGAACGCUGGCGGCGUGCCUAAUACAUGCAAGUCGAACGCAGUGGGGACGGGUGAGUAACACGUGGGUAACCUCCCAUCAGAGGGGAUAACACUUGGAAACAGGUGCUAAACCGAUACUGAUGGAUGGACCCGCGGUGCAUUAGCUAGUUGGUGAGGUAACGGCUCACCAAGGCCACGAUGCAUAGCCGACCAGAGCGGUUGACAGGCAAGGCUGGGAAUGAGACAAGGCCCAGACUCCUACGGGAGGUAGCAGUAGGGAAGGUGCGGCAAUGGACGAAAGUCUGACCGAGCUACGCCGCGGGAGUGAAGAAGGUUUUGGAGUCGUAAAACUCGUUUAUUAGGGAGGCGGUACCUAAUCAGAAAGCCACGGCUAACUACGUGCCAGCAGCCGCGGUAAUAC